GUACUAUUCCCUCUGUUCGGAAUUACUUGUCACAAAAAUGGAUGUAUCUACAACUAAAAUACAUCUAGAUACAUUCAUUUUUUGGACGAGUAAUUCCGAACGGAGGGAGUAGUGG
rnacentral:pre_miRNA from 1 species